UGGAACCAACUCGGACUCCGUCGUCCAUGCCGAUGGCGGUUCGGUGGCCGCGAGUGCUCACGCCGAGCUACCUGGCGCAGCUCAUGCGGCGGCAGAAGGACCCCGCUGCCGCGCUCCGCCUCUUCGAUGAGGCCCCUCUCCGUUACCCUUCCUACCGCCACAACUCCCUCGUCUACUCCGCCGCCCUCGACUCCCUCCUCUCCGUCGACCCUCUCCCCGUCCCCGCCCUCGCCGACCUCCUCUCCCGCCUCGCGCUCCGCGAUUCCUGCCCCGCCCCCGACCUCCUCUUCGCCCGCGCCAUACGCGCCCUUUCCGGCGACCCCCCCGCGGCCCUCUCGCUCUUCCUUCGCCUCCUCCCCCGCUCCAACUCUCCCUCGUGGUCCCUCUCCUUCCACGCCCUCCUCCGGCUCCUCCUUGCCCGCGGCCACCUCUCCCUCGCCCUCCGCCUCUUCUCCAGCUGCGCCGGGCGCCGUGAGGUGCGCCUCGGGCCCCCCGCUCUUAACCUCCUCGUCGAUGCCCUCUGCCGCGACGGUCGCCCCGACGCCGCCGUCCAGGCCUUCGCUGCCUUCAGCGACCUCUGCUGCUACCCCGACCGCGACACCUAUCGCAACCUUAUGCGCGGCCUCUGCGACGCCGGUCGCCUCGAUGACGCCAUCCACCUGCUCCGGUCCAUGCUAUGGCGGAUUUCACAGAAGGGCUGCGACGCCGACGUUGUCGUUUAUAGGACGCUUCUCGAGGCGCUGUGCCAGAACGGACGUAUUGCGGAGGCCGAGGAGAUUCUCGCCAGGGUGCUUAAGAAGGGGCUCAGGUCCACGAAACGUCGGCGGACAUUCUGCGGCCCGGUGCUCCAAGGUUUGACCGUGGAGGAGGCCAAGAAGGUCAUUGACGAGGCACUGGUGGUAAGAGGAGUGAAGAGCCUGACGAGCUACAAAGCAAUGCUGGAGGACUUGUACGCGGAAGGGAAUUUCGACGAUGCACAGCAGAUGUUCGAUGAAAUGAUUGAGAGUGGGUUUCGACCACCGGUGUCCAUCUUUGAAAACAAGAUCAGUGCCUUGUGCCAGGAAGGGAGGGCGGAUGACAGUGUGAGGGUGCUAGAAAAGGAGAUGCCAGGCAGGGAUUGUGUUCCUACCGUUAGAACUUAUAAUCUAGUGAUGGAAGGACUGUGUAAGGAGGGGAAGUCGAUGAGGGCAGUGGAGUAUUUGGACAAGAUGGAUAAACAGGUGGGUUGUGUAGCCCAGAAAGAGACAUUUGAAAUCUUGGUCGAUGGCUUGCAUGCAGAAUGCCGGCAUCUUGAGGCAGCCCAGGUUUUGGAGAGGAUGCUUAGGAGGAGGUAUCGGCCUAACAGAGCAGUUUUCAGCAGUGUAAUUCAGGGGCUCUGUUCGAUUGUCAGGAGAUAUGAAGCCACAUUGUGGUUAGAGGAAAUGAUCAGCCAUGGCGAGAUCCCUGAAGCUGAAGUAUGGGCCUCAUUGGCCUCCAUGGUUUGUUUCAGUGACUUGACGGAAUCUUUACUUCUGGAGGUCUUGGAACAUAAGCAUGAUGCAGGUUGAGUGGCAUUCAUAACAACUGGUGCUUUCAGGGUCUUGCUUUGGCAUGAGACAGAAGAUUUGUGAGAAGACCGCUUGGAUAUGCCUCCUAUGACAUGAUCUGAAUUGCAUUUAUACUUUUGCAAUUUGAAGAUAAGUAAUAGAAGAUGGCUCAGAGAAAAAUUUUAUCGGCACGGUUAAGUUGUUGAUAGUGUUGAGAUUGAAGACAUGCUUUGCAGUAAAUAAUGGGGUAUCUACAGGACAUAGAUGAAGCAGUGUUGAGGUUGAAGACAUGCUUUGCAGUAAAUAAUGGGAUAUCUACAGGACAUAGAUGAAGCAGAUAUGGUCAACGUUAUGCUCUCCCAUUUUAAGGUUAAAUUCUUCAUUAUGUGACAAGGAUAAGAUAUCAUUUUGUGGUGUUUAUUAUCUGCCUUAUAAAAUAUUUCAAAAAGAAGAGCUUGAUGGAGGAUUGAAAGGGGAGUAUAUCUAGAAGUCAUCAAGCAUCUCAGGUGGAUGCUGCUGUCAUUGAAGUAUCUCCUACUUCUCAGACACUUAAGCAGCAGAAACUGUGCUUGAUCAUGUCAUGGAAGCACAAGAUGUCAUGGCAAGGAUAUGAGAUGUCUGUCACCGACGUAGCAGAAGCAUGCAAGAAGCGUUAAUGGCGGUGACACCAUGCUGUAGUGAGAGAUAAGCUAGACGAAGUCAGUCAUCAUACACAAAUGAACAAGGAGCGUUUACCUCUCACGUAAGAGGUCCACAAACUCCGUUGCAUCUUUCAUCCACCUGCUCUAUCGAUCGACAGCUCCACAAAGAAACAGCUCUUCCGCCAUGUGAUCCUCUCGUCAGCUGUCGACCAACUCGGGCAAGCAGCCAUUUUUACUGUUCUAAGCCUGGUCGCGUCCGAAUCUAUACCGCGGAGAUCAGUCUAUAAGAAACCCUUUCCUUCCUUCGAUGUUGCAGUACCAGAGAGCACAGUUUCGCGUAGGAGCUAAAGCCAGCCAGAGAAAGAGGAUGGGGAGGGUGAUAGCUGGCCUUCUCCUGGUUCUCGCCGUCGCCCACCUGGUGGUGGAGCCGGCCGGGGCCAUCACCUGCCAAGACG